UUCUUUCUUUCUUUUUUUUCUUUCUUUCUUUCUUUCCACAUCUAAUUCUUGAGCUUAGUAUUUUAUACAGUGAUUAUGUAAACCAAACAUUGUUGAAUCUGGAAAAACUUUAGAAUGUUAAGAGAUAAUUAUGCAAAUUAUUUUAAUUGUUUCCUCGUUUUAUGUAGUUUGAUUUUCAAUUUUUUCCCCCAGACCUUGGCAAUAUCAGCAGUUCCCCCUCCCCACCCCACCCCCAGGAAUUCAGAUAUCUUUGGCAGAGACUUUGACCCUCUUUCAACUUUAAAAACUGGAGUGUUUUUUGUUUUUUUAAUUUAAAACUUUGAAAUUUCACUUAGUUUUUAUUAGCCAGCAUGGGGGUAGAACAUGAAUUUUUUUUUUAAUACUGUCUGUCUGGAAUGUUUUAUUUCUUUCUGUGGCAUGUUUGAGUCCCCCACACAUUUAAUUUGGGGGAAAACCACUGCAACUUUAGACUUUAAGAAAAUUGUUCACUGCAUACAGCUCAGAAUUUACGUUUUCCUUUGACAUCUGGGUGUGAGCACCUCCCUGUGUGGGACACUGAUAGAGGCCUCAAGUAGACAUGGAGAAAAUACAAAAACAGAACGUCCCUGUCCUCCAGGAGCUGCUUCUGAACAGAGAAGGCUGGGCAAAGUGGAUAAACAAUUAAACCGUUCCUUGUAUUAUGACAGGUGCUGCGGGGAAAGUCUUUCAGUCUAAACAUGCUGGGCACCUCUGUGGAUGAAGGCGGGAAAUGAACCAGCAGUCCGAUUAAUUUGGUGGGGGCGUAGGUGUGUCUCAGAUUCCACGACGAAUGGCGGGGCACUUUGAGUCACCUCAUUCAGUGUCUCGGCUUAGAUGCAUUUUGAACUUCCUAGUGGCCAACUCUUCUCCAGUUCCAAAGGAUGCUUAUCACUCUGUCACCUGAUGGUAGGGUGAUCGGCACCGAAUCCUGUUACUUCUUU
rnacentral:lncRNA from 1 species